AAAAAAGUGAAAGAGAAUAUGCAGAAAGGGGCCACCCUUUUCUGAGGAAGGGUGAAAGCGAAAGCAGAAAGCGUCAGACGCGGAGCCCAACAGAAGACAAGGCUGCGACCUUUCUUGCUCCACGCUGGUGCCACUCGUCUGAUCAUCGACCCCCAAACCCUAGACCGCCCUGCCCACCCCGGGAUGCUGAAGGCAGCGCUAGAGCCCCGAGGGGGCUUCUGCUUUGAGAACUGCCAGAGAAACGCAUCCUUGGAACGCGUCCUCCCGGGGCUCCGGACCCCUCAUGCACGCAAAACUGGGACCACCAUCGCGGGCAUUGUGUUCCGAGACGGGGUCAUCCUGGGCGCGGAUACGCGGGCCACUAACGAUUCGGUCGUGGCGGACAAGAACUGUGAGAAAAUCCACUUCAUCGCUCCCAAAAUCUACUGCUGUGGGGCUGGAGUUGCCGCGGACGCCGAGAUGACCACACGGAUGGCAGCGUCCAACAUGGAACUACACGCGCUGUCUACGGGCCGCGAGCCCCGCGUGGCCACAGUCACUCGCAUGUUGCGCCAGACGCUCUUCCGGUGCUGGGGAGGGCUGAUGACCCAGGGGAGGAGCUGUUGCGGGGAGAGCGAGACUGUGAGGUCCCGGGAGGCCGGAAGAGGCCGGCCUAAGAGGAGGGGGGCAACAGGAAGGAGUGGUGUCAGUCUUGGGCACCGAACCACAGGAAGGGGCGGGGCUCGGAUCCAGGGGCGGUAUCGCGGUGGGGCGGGACCUCGGGGCCUGGUGCUUGUUGCUGACCACGCCCACUCCACGGAAAGGUACCAGGGCCACGUGGGCGCGUCGCUGAUCGUGGGAGGCGUAGACUUGACAGGACCGCAGCUCUACGGCGUGCACCCCCACGGCUCCUACAGCCGUCUGCCCUUUGCGGCCCUGGGCUCCGGCCAGGAUGCGGCUCUGGCAGUUCUGGAGGACCGGUUCCAGCCGAACAUGACAGUGAGCGACACUUAGCCUCCACUACGCGUUCAUUGGUGGGAAGUGACCCUAGGAGCUCGGGGAAGGCAGAGCUGGAGGCCGCGCAGGGGCUGCUGGUGGAAGCCAUCACUGCAGGAAUCUUGGGUGACCUGGGCUCUGGGGGCAAUGUGGAUGCAUGUGUGAUCACAAGGACCGGCGCCAAGCUGCUGCGAACACUGAGCUCACCCACAAAGCCCAUAGUGAGGUCGAGCCAGUACCACUUUGCCCCUGGGACCACAGCUGUCUUGUCCCAGACAGUAACACCACUGACCCUGGAGCUGCUGGAGGAAACCGUGCAGGCCAUGGAGGUGGAAUGAAGUAGGCUAAGGCUUAGAGCUUGGAACAAGGGAAAUAAAGCCAGAAAAUAAAACACCUAAACAG